AGCGAACGCUGGCGGCAGGCCUAACACAUGCAAGUCGAGCGCCGUAGCAAUACGGAGCGGCAGACGGGAGAGUAACACGUGGGAACGUGCCCUUCAGUUCGGAACAACCCAGGGAAACUUGGGCUAAUACCGGAUACGUCCGUAAGGAGAAAGAUUUGUCGCUGAAGGAUCGGCCCGCGUCUGAUUAGCUAGUUGGUGAGGUAACGGCUCACCAAGGCGACGAUCAGUAGCUGGUCUGAGAGGAUGAUCAGCCUCACUGGGACUGAGACACGGCCCAGACUCCUACGGGAGGCAGCAGUGGGGAAUAUUGGACAAUGGGCGCAAGCCUGAUCCAGCCAUGCCGCGUGGAUGAUGAAGGCCCUAGGGUUGUAAAGUUCUUUCGGCGGGGAAGAUAAUGACGGUACCCGCAGAAGAAGCCCCGGCUAACUUCGUGCCAGCCGCCGCGGUAAUAC
rnacentral:rRNA from 1 species